AUCUCUUUAGAGAUAUCCUAUAUAAAUUUAGAAUGACACGGAGAAUAUUAACAUGGCCCUGUGCAAGGAUGACUCGCACAAAUCAAGAAAAUUAUCAAAGCUUA
rnacentral:snRNA from 1 species